CCUAGGGUGGCUGCAGUGGGGAAUAUUGGACAAUGGGCGAAAGCCUGAUCCAGCCAUGCCGCGUGUGUGAAGAAGGCCUUCGGGUUGUAAAGCACUUUCAGUGGGGAAGAAAGCCUUGGGGCUAAUACCCUCGAGGAAGGACAUCACCCACAGAAGAAGCACCGGCUAACUCCGUGCCAGCAGCCGCGGUAAUACGGAGGGUGCGAGCGUUAAUCGGAAUUACUGGGCGUAAAGCGCGCGUAGGCGGUCUGAUAAGCCGGUUGUGAAAGCCCCGGGCUCAACCUGGGAACGGCAUCCGGAACUGUCAGGCUAGAGUGCAGGAGAGGAAGGUAGAAUUCCCGGUGUAGCGGUGAAAUGCGUAGAGAUCGGGAGGAAUACCAGUGGCGAAGGCGGCCUUCUGGACUGACACUGACGCUGAGGUGCGAAAGCGUGGGUAGCAAACAGGAUUAGAUACCCUAGUAGU
rnacentral:rRNA from 1 species